AUCCUCAUAAGUUUGCGACAAGAGGUACCAAAAAUAAUACUUAAAAGCAGUGAACAAAAAUAGUUUACUUAUUUGAUUUAUUAUUUUUUGGUGGCACAGAAUCGGAGGCCCCGACUGUUUACUAAAAACACAACACAGUGCAAUCAUUAGUAUGGUAGUAUACUGUGUGAAAUUUGCCCGAUGCCAUUAAUAUAAAAGAAGUUAUGGAUUAUUUAUAAUCUUGUGACUGAUUGAAAGUCUGGUUAAUAGCGGUCUUAACUAUGAGGAUCCUAAGGUAGCAAAAUCAGUUGGCCAUUAAAUGUGGUCCGGUAUCAAUAAUGUAACGAUGGUCUCACUGUCUCUACAACUUGCUCAGUGAAAUUGAAUUACGCGUGCAGAUGCGCGUUGCCUCCAG
rnacentral:rRNA from 1 species